rnacentral:rRNA from 1 species
CGUGCUUAACACAUGCAAGUCGAACGGAGAUAGAGGAGUAUUUAUAUGAAACUAUUUUAGUGGCGGACGGGUGAGUAACACGUGGGUAACCUGCCCUAUGGAGGGGGAUAACACAUAGAAAUGUGUGCUAAUACCGCAUAAUGUGCAAGAGCUGCAUGGCAUUUGCACCAAAGAUUUAUUGCCAUAGGAUGGACCCGCGGCCCAUUAGCUAGUUGGUGAGGUAACGGCUCACCAAGGCGACGAUGGGUAGCCGGACUGAGAGGUCGAACGGCCACAUUGGAACUGAGACACGGUCCAGACUCCUACGGGAGGCAGCAGUGGGGAAUAUUGCACAAUGGGGGAAACCCUGAUGCAGCAACGCCGCGUGAGUGACGAAGGCCUUCGGGUUGUAAAACUCUGUCUUAGCUGACGAUAAUGACGGUAAGCUAGGAGGAAGCCACGGCUAACUACGUGCCAGCAGCCGCCGCCG